AGCGGAGAGGGGACCAAACCUGAGAUCACUGAGAGAACAAUUAGCAAACGCAAGCGGAGAGGGGAUUAGAAGGAUGAGUCGCUAAGCAUCGUCGUGGCAGCCUAAGCUUUCCACCGACGUCCGAGUCUCUAGAUUUUGAUGAGGUAGCUUGUCGCAUAGAUGCUCUCACACGACCAUGUUCGGAUCAGAUCUCUUCUUCAGUUUCUAUUGUGAUUAGAAAUAGAGGUGAGUCAAAUUAAUAGUGUGAAGGUUGGGGAGGUGAAGAGAACAUUUUUUUUUACGAAGAGGUGGAGGCGUAGAUCAUCGACAUCAUCGACACUUCCGUCUAGGUUAUCUUUUGUUUGGGGAACGACGAAGCCCAAGCGUAAACAGACGAAGCCCAUAAAAAAACAUAUCCACCUGAGGCCCAAACGUAACUCAAUAGACUGAAGCCAUGUGACGUGUCAAAAUGAAAUGUUAUGAUUGGAGGAAUAUUUUAAGUGACGUGGACAUGCUAGAAUUUCAGCAUAUGAUGCUUUUAGUAUUGUGA
rnacentral:lncRNA from 1 species